CAGCAGCCGCGGUAAUACGGAGGGUGCAAGCGUUAAUCGGAAUUACUGGGCGUAAAGCGUGCGCAGGCGGUUGUGUAAGACAGGUGUGAAAUCCCCGGGCUUAACCUGGGAACUGCGCUUGUGACUGCACAGCUAGAGUAUGGCAGAGGGGGGUGGAAUUCCACGUGUAGCAGUGAAAUGCGUAGAGAUGUGGAGGAACACCGAUGGCGAAGGCAGCCCCCUGGGCCAAUACUGACGCUCAUGCACGAAAGCGUGGGGAGCAAACAGGAUUAGAUACCCGAGUAGUCCCUGUCUCUUAUAC
rnacentral:rRNA from 1 species